ensembl:misc_RNA
UUGAGUGUGAAGUUCUCUAUUUAUCCACAGAGCAGGUCCAGUCUGGGCAGCAGUUGAACAAACUUCUCAUGUUACCUCGUCAAUGUACCAUCACUUUGUCCUUCACAGAGCAUGGGCUAGCAAUGCCUAAUCAGUUCCUGGCACGU